rnacentral:lncRNA from 1 species
UUAAAUUUAUGAAUUAAAUAAAAAGUAAAACGAUACACUAAUCCUCCAAUCUCACACUUAGUUACCAAGUCAAAACUAUUAUCCUCCACAAACCCGGUUCACUACAUGAAAGACAUCAAUAAGUCCAUGGAUAGACCAACAGACAAAAUCUUCUGAUCUUAUGCUACAAAAGUAAGUUUCAGUGUCACUGUCACUGACAUAGAAAACGGAAAUAAAAAGUUAAAAUGGAGAGGGA